ACAAGGAAUAUCGUAAAAUUCAAGUUUUUAGGAGUUUCUUUAUUAACAUUUACAUUAAUUAUUAACACUAAAUUGAAUGAAUUUUUGAAAUUUUAAUUUUAAAACAAAUGAUAAAUUAAUAAAUAUUAUAAUUCGUAUUGUUUUUGUUUUUCAAUAAUUUCGAACAUACUUUCUCUCGAGAGUACAAUCUUUCGAACUCUUGACGUUCGAACUUACAGCAUUCGAACAUAUAAUUUUUGAACACAUAACCCCGAUUUUGCCAAAUGCGUAGCACAAUGGUUUUGUCCAAAAAACUCGUUGGUGCAAAAAAAACCGAGUGAAUCGUAAAACCGGGUAAUCAGUAACAGAAUGCCGUGUUUAGUGAAGACGGCUGGGAAGUCGAGGCCCGGUUCAAAGCUAAAAUAGUAAUAUACCGUGCCCUAAAUGAGACCAAGGACCUUAGUGUCCCCGAUGGUAUUUUUGGCGAAGGUUACCGAUUUCGUCACCCGAAAUCCACAUGGAACGGUUUGCAAC